rnacentral:tRNA from 1 species
UGGGGUGUAGCUCAGUGGUAGAGCACUUGCAUAGCAUGUACAAGGAGGCCCUGGAUUCUAUCCCCAGCACCACAC